GAUGAACGCUGGCGGCGUGCUUAAUACAUGCAAGUCGAACGGAAAGGCCUCUGCUUGCAGGGGUACUCGAGUGGCGAACGGGUGAGUAACACGUGGGUGAUCUGCCCUGCACUUCGGGAUAAGCCUGGGAAACUGGGUCUAAUACCGGAUAGGACAAUGGUUUGGAUGCUGUUGUGGAAAGUUUUUCGGUGUGGGAUGAGCUCGCGGCCUAUAAGCUUGUUGGUGGGGUAAUGGCCUACCAAGGCGUCGACGGGUAGCCGGCCUGAGAGGGUGUAUGGCCAGAUUGGGACUGAGAUACGGCCCAGACUCCUACGGGAGGCAGCAGGGGGGAAUAUUGGACAAAGGGCGCAAGCCUGAGGCAGCGACGCCGCGUGGGGGAUGACGGCCUUCGGGUUGUAAACUCCUAUCGCUAGGGACGAAGCGUUUUUGUGACGGUACCUGGAGAAGAAGCACCGGCUAACUACGUG
rnacentral:rRNA from 1 species